UGCUGCUGGACCAUCCAUUAUGAAUCCUCCUCCUCCUCCUGCUGCUGCUGCUGCUGCGGCGGCGGCUUACGACAUCCGGCAUGUCUUCCCCAAGUCCUCCUCCAACAAGCAUUCUGCUGGUGGUGGUGCACCACCACCGCCAGCAGCAGUGGACGCCGCCGCCCAAAGCAAAGACGACAAACACACGCACAGGCAGAGGCUUCUCCAUAAGGUUUUGGUGUCCAAGCGCACAUCCUC
rnacentral:lncRNA from 1 species